rnacentral:lncRNA from 1 species
GAGACCAGAUGAGUCUAGAGCAGAGUCAUCCCCAGCAGGCAGCUGUUUGCCAGAGUUUGGGAGACCUGCCCCUGCAGAUUGUCCUGCAAAGGAUAAGACGGUUGCUGGAAGCCCCUUUAGUUCGUGAACAGGUUAGAAAACAGCUGCUAACAAUGACGACUGAAGAACAAAAUGGGGUAGAGGCAGCCAAGAUGGAAGGAAACUGUGAGAAGAUCUGAAGCCCAGUUUGCACAUACACACUCCUGGUUCUAGUCCUCAACUUCCCCGAGACCUUGGGCUAGAAGGAACUCCCCCAAGCUCCUCUCUUCCCCAUUUACGAAGCCCCUUUCUGCAACAGAGUAAUAACAAAUAAGAGAAGAAAUGUGGAAAGCCUAUAGAACAAAUGACUCUUAGAUGGAAUCAAAUUAGUGUUUAUGUGGAUUUUUGUGUCCUUUUUCCCACAGUUCUGGCAAGAGAGGGAUGAAAAUUAGAUUUUAAUAAUUAUUUGCCAA